CCUACGGGAGGCAGCAGUGGGGAAUAUUGGACAAUGGGGGCAACCCUGAUCCAGCCAUGCCGCGUGUGUGAAGAAGGCCCUCGGGUUGUAAAGCAAUUUCAGUGAGGAAGAACGCCUGGUGGUUAAUACCCAUCAGGAAAGACAUCACUCACAGAAGAAGCACCGGCUAACUCCGUGCCAGCAGCCGCGGUAAUACGGAGGGUGCGAGCGUUAAUCGGAAUUACUGGGCGUAAAGCGCGCGUAGGUGGCUUGAUAAGCCGGUUGUGAAAGCCCCGGGCUCAACCUGGGAACGGCAUCCGGAACUGUCAAGCUAGAGUGCAGGAGAGGAAGGUAGAAUUCCCGGUGUAGCGGUGAAAUGCGUAGAGAUCGGGAGGAAUACCAGUGGCGAAGGCGGCCUUCUGGACUGACACUGACACUGAGGUGCGAAAGCGUGGGUAGCAAACAGGAUUAGAUACCCUUGUAGUC
rnacentral:rRNA from 1 species